rnacentral:rRNA from 1 species
GACGAACGCUGGCGGCGUGCUUAACACAUGCAAGUCGAACGGAAAGGCCUGCUUUCCCUUGUGGAUUGCGGGUACUCGAGUGGCGAACGGGUGAGUAACACGUGAGUGAUCUGCCCCCAACUUGGGUAUAAGCCUGGGAAACUGGGUCUAAUUCCCGAUAGGACUGCAGGGUGGUGCCUGUGGUGGAAAACGAUCUUCUAGUGGUUGGGGAUGAGCUCGCGGCCUAUCAGCUUGUUGGUGGGGUAAUGGCCUACCAAGGCGGCGACGGGUAGCCGGCCUGGGAGGGUGGACGGCGACAUUGAGACUGAGAUACGGCCCAGACUCCUACGGGAGGCAGCAGUGGGGAAUAUUGCACAAUGGGCGGAAGCCUGAUGCAGCGACGCCGCGUGGGGGAUGACGGCCUUCGGGUUGUAAACUCCUUUCGACCGCGAGGAAGCCACCUGGUUGGAAGGGUGGUGACGGUAGUGGUAGAAGAAGCACCGGCUAACUACGUG